rnacentral:rRNA from 1 species
GAUGAACGCUGGCGGCGUGCCUAACACAUGCAAGUCGAGCGAACCCUUCGGGGUGAGCGGCGGACGGGUGAGUAACGCGUGGGUAACCUGCCCUAUACACACGGAUAACGUACCGAAAGGUACGCUAAUACGGGAUAAAGUUGUUGGAUGGCAGCUUCUAACAAUCAAAGCUCCGGCGGUAUAGGAGGGACCCGCGUCUGAUUAGCUAGUUGGUGAGGUAAUGGCUCACCAAGGCGACGACCAGUAGCCGACCUGAGAGGGUGAUCGGCCACACUGGAACUGAGACACGGUCCAGACUCCUACGGGAGGCAGCAGUGGGGAAUAUUGCACAACGGGCGAAAGCCUGAUGCAGCAACGCCGCGUGAGCGAUGAAGGUCUUCGGAUCGUAAAGCUCUGUCCUCAAGGAAGAUAAUGACGGUACUUGAGGAGGAAGCCCCGGCUAACUACGUGCCAGCAGCCGCCGUAA